CAGCCGCCACGGGAAUACGAGGGGGGCAAGCGUUGUUCGGAAUUAUUGGGCGUAAAGGGUGCGUAGGCGGCUUGACAAGUCUUGUGUGAAAUCUAUGGGCUCAACCCAUAGUCUGCACGGGAAACUGUCGGGCUUGAGAAUGGGAGAGGUGAGUGGAAUUUCCGGUGUAGCGGUGAAAUGCGUAGAUAUCGGAAGGAACACCUGUGGCGAAAGCGGCUCACUGGACCAUUUCUGACGCUGAUGCACGAAAGCUAGGGGAGCAAACAGGAUUAGAUACCCGAGUAGUCCCUGUCUCUUAUAA
rnacentral:rRNA from 1 species